UACGUAGGGUGCAAGCGUUAAUCGGAAUUACUGGGCGUAAAGCGUGCGCAGGCGGCUAUGUAAGACCGGUGUGAAAUCCCCGGGCUUAACCUGGGAACUGCAUUUGUGACUGCAUAGCUAGAGUACGGUAGAGGGGGAUGGAAUUCCGCGUGUAGCAGUGAAAUGCGUAGAUAUGCGGAGGAACACCGAUGGCGAAGGCAAUCCCCUGGACCUGUACUGACGCUCAUGCACGAAAGCGUGGGGAGCAAACAGG
rnacentral:rRNA from 1 species